AUUGAACGCUGGCGGCAGGCUUAACACAUGCCAGUCGAGCGGUAGCACAGGGGAGCUUGCUCCCUGGGUGACGAGCGGCGGACGGGUGAGUAAUGUCUGGGAAACUGCCUGAUGGAGGGGGAUAACUACUGGAAACGGUAGCUAAUACCGCAUAACGUCGCAAGACCAAAGAGGGGGACCUUCGGGCCUCUUGCCAUCAGAUGUGCCCAGAUGGGAUUAGCUAGUAGGUGGGGUAAUGGCUCACCUAGGCGACGAUCCCUAGCUGGUCUGAGAGGAUGACCAGCCACACUGGAACUGGGACACGGUCCAGACUCCUACGGGAGGCAGCAGUGGGGAAUAUUGCACAAUGGGCGCAAGCCUGAUGCAGCCAUGCCGCGUGUGUGAAGAAGGCCUUCGGGUUGUAAAGCACUUUCAGCGAGGAGGAAGGUGGUGAGCUUAAUACGUUCAUCAAUUGACGUUACUCGCAGAAGAAGCACCGGCUAACUCCGUG
rnacentral:rRNA from 1 species